rnacentral:SRP_RNA from 1 species
GCUGGGUGGGAUGGUGUGCACCUGUAAUCCCAGCUACUCAGGAGGCUGAGGCAGGAGAAUUGCUUGAACCCAGGAGGUUGAGGGUUGCAGUGAGCUGAGAUCACGCCACUGCACUCUAGCCUGGGCAACAGAGCGAGAUUCUGUCUCAA